rnacentral:rRNA from 1 species
CCGUUCCCCGUUCGGGGGGACAGGGUGACAGGUGGUGCAUGGUUGUCGUCAGCUCGUGUCGUGAGAUGUUGGGUUAAGUCCCGCAACGAGCGCAACCCUCGACCUUAGUUGCCAGCAUUCAGUUGGGCACUCUAAGGUGACUGCCGGCUAAAAGUCGGAGGAAGUGGGGAUGACGUCAAAUCAUCAUGCCCCUUAUGACCUGGGCUACACACGUGCUACAAUGGGCGGUACAAAGGGUCGCCAAGCCGCGAGGUGGAGCCAAUCCCUUAAAGCCGAUCGUAGUCCGGAUCGUAGUCUGCAACUCGACUACGUGAAGUCGGAAUCGCUAGUAAUCGCAGAUCAGCAUGCUGCGGUGAAUACGUUCCCGGGUCUU